GGUAAGGGAAAUUUCCAAAGUACCUUUGAAGGAGAGAUUCCAGAAGGACGUGAACCCGAUUAGGAUGGAAGCAGAUGAAGUUGACGAACCUUGUGUCGUAUUCAAAUCGCUGUCAGCGGUUUGUUUUUACGGCCCGAUGUGGGCCGGCGGCUUUGGUCAAUGCAUUGCGUCUAGCGUCGAUGGUGACCCUGCGGAGGGACAAUCAGUCGGCGUACGGUGCUUGGUAUGGCUAAGGUUUCGCCGGUCUUAAAGUCAGCGCCUCAUCUGACCCGUCUUGAAACACGGACCAAGGAGUGUAGCGUUUGCGCAAGUCUUAGAGUGUAUCGAAACUUUGAGGCGUAACGAAAGUAAAUGCAGUUUAAUCUGCUGACUUGGGAUGCGUUGUCUCUUGUGGACGGCGCUGGACCAAGGUUUUAUCGCGAUCGCUUGCGGUGCGGUGAAAAUAGAGCGUAAACGGUGCGACCCGAAAGAUGGUGAACUAUGCCUGAGCAGGAUGAAGCCGGAGGAAACUCUGGUGGAAGUCCGAAGCGGUUCUAGCGUGCAAAUCGAUCGUCUGACUUGGGUAUAGGGGCGAAAGACUAAUUGAACAUGUGAAUCAAGGCAA
rnacentral:rRNA from 1 species